rnacentral:rRNA from 1 species
GACGAACCGUGCGAACGUUGUUCGGAAUCACUGGGCUUAAAGGGCGCGUAGGCGGGCUGCCAAGUCUGGGGUGAAAUCCUUCGGCUCAACCGGAGAACGGCCUCGGAUACUGGCGGUCUCGAGGGAGGUAGGGGCGUGCGGAACUAAGGGUGGAGCGGUGAAAUGCGUUGAUAUCCUUAGGAACUCCGGUGGCGAAGGCGGCACGCUGGACCUUUUCUGACGCUGAGGCGCGAAAGCCAGGGGAGCAAACGGG